UACGAAGGGGGCUAGCGUUGUUCGGAAUCACUGGGCGUAAAGGGCGCGUAGGCGGCCGAUCAAGUCGGGGGUGAAAGCCUGUGGCUCAACCACAGAAUUGCCUUCGAUACUGUUUGGCUUGAGACCGGAAGAGGUUAGUGGAACUGCGAGUGUAGAGGUGAAAUUCGUAGAUAUUCGCAAGAACACCAGUGGCGAAGGCGGCUCACUGGCCCGAUACUGACGCUGAGGUGCGAAAGCGUGGGGAGCAAACGGG
rnacentral:rRNA from 1 species